CCUACGGGUGGCAGCAGUGAGGAAUAUUGGUCAAUGGACGCGAGUCUGAACCAGCCAAGUAGCGUGAAGGAUGACUGCCCUAUGGGUUGUAAACUUCUUUUAUAAAGGAAUAAACUGAGACACGUGUGGCUUUUUGUAUGUACCUUAUGAAUAAGGAUCGGCUAACUCCGUGCCAGCAGCCGCGGUAAUACGGAGGAUCCGAGCGUUAUCCGGAUUUAUUGGGUUUAAAGGGAGCGUAGGUGGGUUGUUAAGUCAGGUGUGAAAGUUUGCGGCUCAACCGUAAAAUUGCAUUUGAUACUGGCAGUCUUGAGUAUAGUAGAGGUAGGCGGAAUUCGUGGUGUAGCGGUGAAAUGCUUAGAUAUCACGAAGAACUCCGAUUGCGAAGGCAGCCUACUAAACUGCCACUGACACUGAGGCUCGAAAGUGUGGGUAGCAAACAGGAUUAGAUACCCGGGUAGUC
rnacentral:rRNA from 1 species